rnacentral:rRNA from 1 species
AGUGAACGCUGGCGGCGUGCCUAAUACAUGCAAGUCGAACGCGCAGCGAAAGGUGCUUGCACCUUUCAAGCGAGUGGCGAACGGGUGAGUAACACGUGGAUAACCUGCCUCAAGGCUGGGGAUAACAUUUGGAAACAGAUGCUAAUACCGAAUAAAACUUAGUAUCGCAUGAUACAAAGUUAAAAGGCGCUACGGCGUCACCUAGAGAUGGAUCCGCGGUGCAUUAGUUAGUUGGUGGGGUAAAGGCUUACCAAGACGAUGAUGCAUAGCCGAGUUGAGAGACUGAUCGGCCACAUUGGGACUGAGACACGGCCCAAACUCCUACGGGAGGCUGCAGUAGGGAAUCUUCCACAAUGGGCGCAAGCCUGAUGGAGCAACGCCGCGUGUGUGAUGAAGGCUUUCGGGUCGUAAAGCACUGUUGUAUGGGAAGAAAUGCUAAAAUAGGGAAUGAUUUUAGUUUGACGGUACCAUACCAGAAAGGGACGGCUAAAUACGUGCCAGCCGCCGCGGUAAUAC